rnacentral:lncRNA from 1 species
AUCUGUUUCCAUUACAGAGUUUGUAGUCAGAGAAUAUAGGUAUACCGUAUUUUUAAUGUCUUUUUUGUCCCAUGUUUGUAAGUUUGUCAUAAAGAAAUAGUAUGUGGUAUUAAUGUCAAUGGGAUAAAACAGACGAAAAUAAGUUUACCUUAAUAAGUAUGGAUUAAGAAAGACAGACUACCCCAUAACCAUAAGAAAGGACAGGCAAAAGUAUACAAAACAAUA